UACAGAUUAGGAGACUGAGUCCCAAAGAGGGGCAGUCGCUUGCCCAAGGCCAUGUGGCUGUUAGUGUUGGAGUCAGAAUUUGAAGCCAGGGAGGCUGAUCUUGGAACACCUGCUGUCAACAGAAACUUCUGACAAAAUACAGAGGACUGCCAUGCCUUCCGGGGUGUUCUCCCAGAGAUGCCCCUUCUGCUAUCCUGCCUGUGCUGCUGCCCUGAUCAUUACUGCAAAUGGCUGGAUUCAUCUUUGUCAAGUUUGCACUUUCACCAAAGUUUGAAUUAACGUCGACAUUAAUUUGCUGAUGAAGCGCCUGCAGUAGGUCAUAUAGCGUGAGCACCUGUGAUUUCCAAGGAAAUUAUUGUAAUGUGCUAAAUGGGAGAUUUAAAGGUUAGUUGUUCCCCUGCAAUCUAUGAACUGUUAUAUGAAAAAGUCAUAACUGAAAUAAUUGAAGUGUCAGAAAGAAAAAAAAGGAUAAGAAAUCCAAUCAACAAUUCUCUUAUCCCUUACCUAUCAUCCUGAUUUUAUUUGGUAUUUUGGCACUGCACCAAUGCUGGAAUAUUGCUGUGGGCAGAGGGUGAGGGGAGGAGGGAGAGAACCUCAGAAGCACAAGUGAUGUAGCUGGGAGCCUGGUUACUAGAGCCUGGUUGUUGGAGCCUGGUUACUGGAGCCUGGUUACUAGAGCCUGGUUAUUGGAGCCUGGUUACUAGAGCCUGGUUAUUGGAGCCUGGUUACUAGAGCCUGGUUAUUGGAGCCUCGUUACUGGAGCCUGAUUACUGGAGCCUGGUUAUUGGAGCUUGGUUAUUGGUGCCUGGGCUCUGGUUUUGUGCAGGCAGUAGGCCCCUUAUCCCUGGAGGUAUUCCGGAGUCCCACGGGUGGUCUCCUGGACGAGGUGCUGU
rnacentral:lncRNA from 10 species